GACGAACGCUGGCGGCGUGCUUAACACAUGCAAGUCGAACGGUAAGGCCCUUCGGGGUACACGAGUGGCGAACGGGUGAGUAACACGUGGGUGAUCUGCCCUGCACUUCGGGAUAAGCAUGGGAAACUGGGUCUAAUACCGGAUAGGACCACUGCAUGCAUGGGGGGUGGUGGAAAGCUUUUGCGGUGUGGGAUGGGCCCGCGGCCUAUCAGCUUGUUGGGGGGGUGAUGGCCUACCAAGGCGACGACGGGUAGCCGGCCUGAGAGGGUGACCGGCCACACUGGGACUGAGAUACGGCCCAGACUCCUACGGGAGGCAGCAGUGGGGAAUAUUGCACAAUGGGCGCAAGCCUGAUGCAGCGACGCCGCGUGAGGGAUGACGGCCUUCGGGUUGUAAACCUCUUUCAGCACCGACGAAGCGCAAGUGACGGUAGGUGCAGAAGAAGGACCGGCCAACUACGUGCCAGCCGCCGCAGUAA
rnacentral:rRNA from 1 species